UACGUAGGGGGCAAGCGUUGUCCGGAAUCAUUGGGCGUAAAGCGCGUGUAGGCGGCCAGAUAAGUCCGCUGUGAAAUCUCGAGGCUCAACUUCGAGCUGUCGGUGGAAACUGUCUGGCUAGAGUCCGGAAGAGGAGAAUGGAAUUCCUGGUGUAGCGGUGAAAUGCGUAGAUAUCUGGAGGAACACCGGUGGCGAAGGCGGCAUCCUGGACCGGUAUUGACGCUGAGGCGCGAAAGCCAGGGGAGCAAACGGG
rnacentral:rRNA from 1 species